AUUACACUCACCUGAGGCAAGGCAGCCUUGCUGGGAAGCUCUGGGCAAACCCAGAUGCAGGUGUUCCUAGUGAUGUGCCCCUCCUGAUAGCACUGUGCUGACCUGAGCUCUGUCAUCAGCCAGUGCUGUGCCAGGAUAAAAGUGGUGGGUUGGAAAGGCAGAAGGUUUCUUUGUCUGUUGUGCAGCUCUGUUCAGAGCUCCCAGCUGAGGUCAGUGGGAUGUGCUGGGUGUUUAAGGGGAGAGAGAAGAUCUCUUCGUGAAGAGUGAAGGAAAGCUGAAAAAUGACAUCUGAGGAGAAGGAAAGGAGAAGAUAUGGAGAAGAUGAGGCAGAAGAAGCCCUUCUUAAACACUGGACCUGCAGGAACCCUCAGUUCAUCACUACAUCAAUGUGCCGCUGGUGGCAAUGCUUGCAUAUAUCUACUGUAUACUUUUGUGAAGGCAAACUGAGACAACAAGAUGGGCCAUGAACUGCCACAAAGUCACUUAUAUAGCAUCACUUCCUCCAAGGAGCCUGAAGCUCUUCAACCCCACGAAGCGGUGACAGUUUUGUUCAAGGGAGCAGCAGGAAAAUAAGACACAAAGUCCCUGCCUCUCCUGUUGCCAUGUAACUGCUGGGGCUCAUCCGAGCUCAGCUAGAACAGGCUUUUUAAGCAGCAAUUAAUUUUGAUAAGGUUGCCAGACUAUGUUGCUCCUGCUUGCAUCACACUGGAAGGCUACAGAAUCUGAAGGAGCCUCCAUCUAGUCUCUGAAAUAAAACCUACAGCAGAACACUUUUGAGUUGACUU
rnacentral:lncRNA from 1 species